rnacentral:rRNA from 1 species
CCCUUAGAUGUUCUGGGCCGCACACGCGCUACACUGAAGGAGGCAGCGUGUACUCCUGGAUCGAAAGAUUUGGGUAACCCGCGAAUCUCCUUCGUGCUAGGGAUUGAGGUUUGCAAUUAUCCUUCAUGAACGAGGAAUUCCCAGUAAGUGCAAGUCAUCAGCUUGCAUUGAUUACGUCCCUGCCCUUUGUACACACCGCCCGUCGACUCUACCGAUUGAAUGGUUCGGUGAAAACUUUGGACUGUGGCAUUGUCCUUCAUUGGACUUCGCCGUAGGAAAUUGUUUAAACCUCAUCAUUUAGAGGAAGAAUAANUCGUAACA